GUGACUUGUGUACUUCAUCGUGAAGUUCUUGUCUUGGCUCGCUCUCCAUUUCAGCUUAAAAGCCCCUCUGUAAAUCAAACGAUGUUCAGUCAUCUAUGAAAUAAACAUUAAACCUAAUACCGUGAGACUUUUGCACUUUUUAAUAAAGUCCUUUGUGUAUGUUUUAUAGCAUUGUAAGAGGACACACAUGCAACACAAGAUCUCCCCACUGAACAUAAAAUGCAAAAAGCUGGCAGUGUUGAAUCCUACUAAAUAUACAUAACAAAGUAAGAGUAAUGAAUCGUAAAGCAAGCAAACAAGCAUUUAAGAUCAUUAAGUGGUAUUUGUACUUUUCAGUUACAUCAGUAAAAUACAUCGAAGCUCUAGCCAUAUUAUGGCUCGAUUUUAAGAGAAUAGUUAAACAAAUGCAUUAACUCUCACUCCCUUUUGAACAUCAAUGUUGUAAUACUGUCGGUUUUGUGCUAUUUUUUGAACGCCAUCGAAUGCAGAUCUCGGGAGAUCUAUAAUAGAUCUAUACUGAUAUCUAGUGGUCACAAUGCGUAACUGCAACCACAUAUGGAUUUCAUAAAUAAAUUAACGGAUAUAAAAUGAUAGUUGGGUGAAUCAGAACUGCCGUGAGUAAAUAAAAAUAAUUGAGAGAUGAAAAAUAAAUCUCUCCUUCCUAAAGGGAUUGAUAACCUACCAGUAUCAGACCAGGUAAAACAUAACAAGCUUUUAUUUUGUUGAGAAGUAAAGCUAUUUCCUUGAUUUUUAUUCUCAGUGAGUCACUCACUACUAUUUACAUUUAAUUUUACAAAGACAUAGCAAUUAGUGCUAGCAGAUGGCCAUUUCAUUCAAAAAUAAGAAUGUUCUUUUAUUUAUUAUGGUUCAACUUGAACCCCACUUCCUUUCUUUAUGAUAUGUAUGGUCGAACAACGUUAGGGCUAGAUAUAAUAGGAACGUAUUUCAAGUGUGUAGACUACAUCUUCAAAUCGAUAUACAUCUAUUGUACAGCCGUUUCUGUUACGAAUAGAUAAUAGGAUGUAAAUAUACAAUAUACACAUACUUCUCCGAUCCAUCUGAUAAGAUACUUUAAUAUAGUUAGUCAGUAGUUUUUUGGGAUUGAUUUCUGUAUUAAAGCUGGGUUAUUAAAGCCAUUACAAAAGAUGAUCCCGUCGUUUCAUUCACAAUUGAUCGAAGUGUCUCUCAUUCGGUUGGAUCAUCAGGCAAAAAACAGUGUGUGGCAGUAACUCACAUAUAUCACUAUCCCACGUGUUCCGACAGCUUCGUCCCCGUUGGUGGGAGUUUCUACGUCCGUCAGAACCCUGCUCAAACCCCACCCUGUUGGAGGUUGUCUCUGAGCAGAGCACCGACGCCGUCGGUGAGUUGAGAGUUCCCGUCCCCGUGCGUUGAGUCUAAAUCAACAGCACCGACGAGAUCACUAAAGACUGAACGUGAGAACCAAGAAGUGCAUUGUGGGAACAUUUCAGGAUGCCAGUGAGGCGACUUGUACUCCUUAAUUGACCCCUUAGACUCUCUCUCUCUCUCUCUCUCUCUCUCUCUCUCUCUCUCUCUCUCUCUCUCUCUCUCUCUCUCUCUCUCUCUCUCUCUCU
ensembl:lncRNA